UUAGAUGUCCGAGGCAGCACGCGCGCUACACUGAAGGAAUCAGCGUGUGCUCUCCCCGUCCGUAAGGACCGGGUAACCCGUUGAACCUCCUUCGUGAUAGGGAUAGGAGCUUGUAAUUGUCCUCCUUGAACGAGGAAUGCCCAGUAAGCACGAGUCAUAAGCUCGUGUUGAUUACGUCCCUGCCCUUUGUACACACCGCCCGUCGCUACUACUGAUUGAAUGGUUUAGUGAGGUCUUCGGACUGGCGCUCGGAGCGGUCUCCCGACCGGGCCGGCGUGCCGGAAAGAUGACCGAACUUGGUCAUUUAGAAGAAGUAAAAGUCGUAACAAGGUUUCC
rnacentral:rRNA from 1 species